rnacentral:rRNA from 1 species
GAUGAACGCUGGCGGCGUGCCUAAUACAUGCAAGUCGAGCGAACAGACGAGGAGCUUGCUCCUCUGACGUUAGCGGCGGACGGGUGAGUAACACGUGGAUAACCUACCUAUAAGACUGGGAUAACUUCGGGAAACCGGAGCUAAUACCGGAUAACAUGUUGAACCACAUGGUUCAACAGUGAAAGACGGUCUUGCUGUCACUUAUAGAUGGAUCCGCGCCGCAUUAGCUAGUUGGUAAGGUAACGGCUUACCAAGGCAACGAUGCGUAGCCGACCUGAGAGAGUGAUCGGCCACACUGGAACUGAGACACGGUCCAGACUCCUACGGGAGGCAGCAGUAGGGAAUCUUCCGCGAUGGGCGAAGGCCUGACGGAGCAACGCCGCGUGAGUGAAGAAGGUCUUCGGAUCGGAAAACUCUGUUAUUAGGGAAGAACAAAUGUGUAAGUAACUAUGCACGUCUUGACGGUACCUAAUCAGAAAGCCACGGCUAACUACGUG